rnacentral:rRNA from 1 species
AUACAGUGGCGGUCUCGUUGUGACUCCCCUGCGUAGUAGUAACAUCUCGCAUGAGGAUAGCGACGCGGCCACGCCGUAAACCCCCCAACUUUUACCAAGGUUGACCUCGGAUCAGGUAGGAAUACCCGCUGAACUUAAGCAUAUCAAUAAGCGGAGGAAAAGAAACCAACAGGGAUUGCCCUAGUAACGGCGAGUGAAGCGGCAACAGCUCAAAUUUGAAAUCUGGCCCUAGGCCCGAGUUGUAAUUUGUAGAGGAUGUUUCUGGUGCGGUGCCUUCCGAGUUCCCUGGAACGGGACGCCAUAGAGGGUGAGAGCCCCGUCCGGUCGUGCGCUAAGCCUAUGUGAAACUCCUUCGACGAGUCGAGUAGUUUGGGAAUGCUGCUCUAAAUGGGAGGUAUACGUCUUCUAAAGCUAAAUACCGGCCAGAGACCGAUAGCGCACAAGUAGAGUGAUCGAAAGAUGAAAAGCACUUUGAAAAGAGGGUUAAAUAGUACGUGAAAUUGCUGAAAGGGAAGCGCUUAUGACCAGACUUGGGCUAGGUGAAUCAUCCGGCGUUCUCGCCGGUGCACUUUGCCUGUCCAGGCCAGCAUCAGUUCACGUCGGGGGAUAAAGGCGUCGGGAAUGUGGCUCCCUCGGGAGUGUUAUAGCCCAGCGUGUAAUACCCUGACGAGGACUGAGGUACGCGCUCCG